UGCCGCGUGAGUGAUGAAGGCCCUAGGGUUGUAAAGCUCUUUCACCGGUGAAGAUAAUGACGGUAACCGGAGAAGAAGCCCCGGCUAACUUCGUGCCAGCAGCCGCGGUAAUACGAAGGGGGCUAGCGUUGUUCGGAAUUACUGGGCGUAAAGCGCACGUAGGCGGAUUGUUAAGUGAGGGGUGAAAUCCCAGGGCUCAACCCGGGAACUGCCUUUCAUACUGGCAAUCUCGAGUCCGAUAGAGGUGAGUGGAAUUCCGAGUGUAGCGGUGAAAUUCGUAGAUAUUCGGAGGAACACCAGUGGCGAAGGCGGCUCACUGGCCGGUACUGACGCUGAGCGCGA
rnacentral:rRNA from 1 species